rnacentral:rRNA from 1 species
GGAAGCAGGGGAUCGUAAGGCCUUGCCGCUUUUGGAGCGGCCGAUGUCUGAUUAGCUAGUUGGUGGGGUAAGGGCCUACCAAGGCGACGAUCAGUAGUUGGUCUGAGAGGACGACCAGCCACACUGGGACUGAGACACGGCCCAGACUCCUACGGGAGGCAGCAGUGGGGAAUUUUGGACAAUGGGCGCAAGCCUGAUCCAGCAAUGCCGCGUGAGUGAAGAAGGCCUUCGGGUUGUAAAGCUCUUUCAGUCGAGAAGAAAAGGCUACGGUAAAUAAUCGUAGUUCAUGACGGUACCGACAGAAGAAGCACCGGCUAACUACGUGCCAGCAGCCGCGGUAAUACGUAGGGUGCGAGCGUUAAUCGGAAUUACUGGGCGUAAAGGGUGCGCAGGCGGCUUUGUAAGUCAGAUGUGAAAUCCCCGGGCUUAACCUGGGAAUUGCGUUUGAAACUACAAGGCUAGA